rfam:Ipomoea nil DNA, scaffold: scaffold2283, cultivar: Tokyo-kokei standard.
GUGUGUUUGGUCUAGUGGUAUGAUUUUUCCUUUGGGUGCAAGAGGUCGUGAGUUCGAUUCUCACAAUACCCC